rnacentral:lncRNA from 1 species
GAACUGGCAGAUCCCAUCCCAUUCAACUUUACAGUAGGUCCAGGACAGAGAGAGAAUGUCAGAAAUGAUGGCAGGCAAGGCUACCCAGUAAGAAGUUAAAAUCGCCACUACUGUACAAUAUGCUUGCUAGGCACUGGUUUAAAAGAGUGAAUAACAGUAGUUGUUUUGAGGGAAAAGUCCUUGCGCCAGCCUUCCUCAAUAUUUGUGCUCUGCCAUGCCACCUAUACAACUUCCUUGACUGUUCUACCCAUGGCCUUGUGUGUAUUUACUAGGCCUACUUUAAUGAUUUAUUAAUUGUGCAUAGUGUCUCUCAAAGCACUUAUACCAUGUGUCUUUUCUCUGUACUCUGGAUUGGCCAGUUUGGAUGUCCGUCUCCUGUGCUAGGCUGGGAUUGGCGGCAGGAUGGAGGCAGGAUUGAGGCAGGAUGCUGGAUUAGGCAACUGGAGCAGGUGGGCCUCAGGUGCUAAACCAUAUUGACCUUUGUGUUUGGCAGGUGGGGAGGGGGAUCAGGUUCCCGUCAUGUGAAGUUGAGUCAUCCUGGAGGCAGGGAGUAUUCCCAUGAGCCAGCAGCACUAUGGAGGUCACAUGACUGCCUGGAUUAGGUGUCAUGUUUGUAGCCGAGCUCAUCCUCUCUCAAGGGAAGUCGAGGUGGACAUCGGCCAGUUCACACCCAGCCUCAGCCCUCACCAACAACUGCAAGACAAGCCUAUUAUCAUGACAGAGGAGGACCCCGUGUCUUGCAUGCAAGGGCUACCUAUAUCUUCACUGGUUACAGCACAACCAAAGCAGAAACCCAUUCAAUAACAACCAGUCUGGUAGGUGGAAGAAUGGGAUUCCUGUUUCUGCUAAAUGACUCAUUACCUGUCAGUUCUGUCUUUCAUUAUAUACUGUAAUAGUUUAAUACAAAGCAAACUAUCAUCUGUACUGUUUUGUAUAAAUGUAUUUUCCAAACCUGGAUGUUUUUGAUCAUGUUGUCUGGCUUUUGACACAAGGUGUUCGCAAUGGCUUGUAUUCAAGAAUUCUCUUUUGAUAUAUUAAACAAUACUGAUCCCAC